CUAGAGCAUGAUUUGUGUCCGGUCCGGUCCGUUGAAGCAGUGAUGCAUCCGUUGAGAAUCUGUAUGGUUGUUAACAUUUUAACUCUUUGGUUUAAAAUGCUGAUGCUCUAGUUGCCCGUUCUUUAGUGAAUGCCUUAGUCCUGCUAAACACAAUCCCUAGACACUCCUAGGACGUAACACCUGGAGUGUUUGAAAAGAAGUUUAUUCCACCGGUAAUGUUCAACCUCGGAAAAAGGAUCAACCUCUCAGCGACAGGAUUCAGGAUGACAGAUAGCACUAGGUGGAUUUCCCAAGGGAACAACGCCACAGCUGACAUACACAAGUCUCGGGGUGGCAGUAGAGUUUCUGGGAUCUGUGGCGGUUAUUGUGGAAAAUGCACUCCCUCCUCCAGCUCUGGACGUCUUGUUGACGUUUCAUACAUCAACGUCGCUAGUUGACGUUGUUACACUUGCAUCAAGUGUACUGGUGAGGUCUGCUGACAAAUGUCUAAUUUAAUAUUAUUAUUAUUUUUUUUUUUAAAAGAAAAAUUCUAUGUGUAUGAUUUUUCAAGUGCCAUACAAUUCACUUAUGAGCCAAGUGUUGAAUACCAGUAUAGGUUCUUUGGCAUCUAUUUCACUGGGUUGUAUUUAUACACUACUGUUAAAAAGCUUAUGGUUGUUUAUUUAUUUUUAUGUUUUGAGAAAUAAGUCUCUUAGACACCAAAGCGUCAUUUAUUUAAUCAAAAAU
rnacentral:lncRNA from 1 species